rnacentral:tRNA from 1 species
GGGCGCGUAGCUCAAUGGCAGAGCGUCCGCCUUACACGCGGAAGGUUUCAGGUUCAAGUCCUGACGCGCCCA